AAAGGGGCUUCGGCCCUGAGUAGAGUGGCGAACGGGUGAGUAACACGUGGGUGAUCUACCUCCUGAGUGGGGGAUAACGUUCCGAAAGGAGCGCUAAUACCGCAUGACGUUCCGGGUUUGAAGACCUGGAAACCAAAGCCGGGGACCGCAAGGCCUGGUGCUUGGAGAGGAGCCCGCGCCUGAUUAGCUAGUUGGCGGGGUAAUGGCCCACCAAGGCGACGAUCAGUAGCCGGCCUGAGAGGGCGGACGGCCACACUGGGACUGAGACACGGCCCAGACUCCUACGGGAGGCAGCAGUGGGGAAUUGUUCGCAAUGGGCGCAAGCCUGACGACGCAACGCCGCGUGGAGGAUGAAGGCCUUCGGGUCGUAAACUCCUGUUGAUCGGGAAGAACGGGCUCCGGGUGAAUAGCCUGGAGCAGUGACGGUACCGAUUGAGGAAGCCACGGCUAACUCUGUGCCAGCAGCCGCGGUAAUACAGAGGUGGCAAGCGUUGUUCGGAAUUACUGGGCGUAAAGGGCGCGUAGGUGGCCUUUUCAGUCAGACGUGAAAUCCCCAGGCUUAACCUGGGAACUGCGUCUGAUACUGGAAGGCUUGAGUUCGGGAGAGGGAUGUGGAAUUCCAGGUGUAGCGGUGAAAUGCGUAGAUAUCUGGAGGAACACCGGUGGCGAAGGCGGCAUCCUGGACCGAAACUGACACUGAUGCGCGAAAGCCAGGGGAGCAAACGGGAUUAGAUACCCCGGUAGUCCUGGCCCUAAACGAUGAGUGCUUGGUGUGGCGGGUAUCGAUCCCUGCCGUGCCGAAGCUAACGCAUUAAGCACUCCGCCUGGGGAGUACGGUCGCAAGGCUGAAACUC
rnacentral:rRNA from 1 species